rnacentral:rRNA from 1 species
AUUGAACGCUGGCGGCAGGCCUAACACAUGCAAGUCGAACGGUAACAGGAAGCAGUUUGCUGCUUUGCUGACGAGUGGCGGACGGGUGAGUAAUGUCUGGGAAACUGCCUGAUGGAGGGGGAUAACUACUGGAAACGGUAGCUAAUACCGCAUAACGUCGCAAGACCAAAGAGGGGGACCUUCGGGCCUCUUGCCAUCGGAUGUGCCCAGAUGGGAUUAGCUAGUAGGUGGGGUAACGGCUCACCUAGGCGACGAUCCCUAGCUGGUCUGAGAGGAUGACCAGCCACACUGGAACUGAGACACGGUCCAGACUCCUACGGGAGGCAGCAGUGGGGAAUAUUGCACAAUGGGCGCAAGCCUGAUGCAGCCAUGCCGCGUGUAUGAAGAAGGCCUUCGGGUUGUAAAGUACUUUCAGCGGGGAGGAAGGGAGUAAAGUUAAUACCUUUGCUCAUUGACGUUACCCGCAGAAGAAGCACCGGCUAACUCCGUG